rnacentral:rRNA from 1 species
GACGAACGCUGGCGGCGUGGAUUAGGCAUGCAAGUCGAACGGUAUCAUCCUUUCGGGGGUGAGAGAGUGGCGAACUGGUGAGUAACACGUAGGUUAUCUACCCUCAAGACGGGGACAACCCAGGGAAACUUGGGCUAAUACCGGAUGUGAGCAACUUUUUAGUUGUUUGAAAGGUGGCGUAAGCUGUCGCUUGGGGAUGAGCCUGCGUCCUAUUAGUUAGUUGGUGAGGUAACGGCUCACCUAGGCAAUGAUAGGUAGGCGGCCUUAACGGGUGGUCGCCCACACUGGGAUUGAGAUACGGCCCAGACUCCUACGGGAGGCAGCAGUCGAGAAUAGUCUACAAUGGUCGGAAGACUGAUAGUGCGACGCCGCGUGAACGAUGAAUCCCUUCGGGUGUAAAGUUCUUUUAUAUGUGAGCAGUGCUUCUUAUAUUAACAGUAUGGGGAGAGAGAUAUUAGCAUAUGAAUAAGCAACGGCUAACUCCGUGCCAGCAGCCGCGGUAAGC